rnacentral:rRNA from 1 species
UGCAAGUCGNACGCUUUGUGGUUCAACUGAUUUGAAGAGCUUGCUCANNNNUNNNGAUGGACAUUGCAAAGAGUGGCGAACGGGUGAGUAACACGUGGGAAACCUACCUCUUAGCAGGGGAUAACAUUUGGAAACAGAUGCUAAUACCGUAUAACAAUGACAACCGCAUGGUUGUUAUUUAAAAGAUGGUUCUGCUAUCACUAAGAGAUGGUCCCGCGGUGCAUUAGCUAGUUGGUAAGGUAAUGGCUUACCAAGGCGAUGAUGCAUAGCCGAGUUGAGAGACUGAUCGGCCACAAUGGGACUGAGACACGGCCCAUACUCCUACGGGAGGCAGCAGUAGGGAAUCUUCCACAAUGGGCGAAAGCCUGAUGGAGCAACGCCGCGUGUGUGAUGAAGGGUUUCGGCUCGUAAAACACUGUUGUAAGAGAAGAAUGACAUUGAGAGUAACUGUUCAAUGUGUGACGGUAUCUUACCAGAAAGGAACGGCUAAAUACGUGCCAGCAGCCGCGGUAAUACGUAUGUUCCAAGCNUU